AAAACGACUCUCGGCAACGGAUAUCUCGGCUCUCGCAUCGAUGAAGAACGUAGCGAAAUGCGAUACUUGGUGUGAAUUGCAGAAUCCCGUGAACCAUCGAGUCUUUGAACGCAAGUUGCGCCCCAAGCCGUUAGGCCGAGGGCACGUCUGCCUGGGUGUCACGCN
rnacentral:rRNA from 1 species